rnacentral:lncRNA from 1 species
CCUGCCUCAGGGCUAAAUACCCCAAAGAGGAGGUGAGGAGAAAAGCGCGAGGCUGGAACUUCGAGGUAGUGGAAAGUGGUGUAGGCACGGCGGGUGUUAGCAGCGGGAAGCGGAGCUGCGCCUGAGGAGGGGCCCCGCGCUGCGAGCGCGGGUAUCCUGGGGCAGCUGCGACGCGAGGGAAGGAGCCGCGCUGCAGCAGGGGACGGGCGUGACGAGGGCGGAGUGGUGGGGAGGCACGGCCGCGUGCUGACCCAGUCCAAAGCAAUGGGGAGGUCACCAUGGAGGUCAGUCUGCAGUGCUCCUGAGAUGUCAGUUAGCAGAUGUUGCACCUAGUGAUCCUCCCUGCACUCCUGUGACGAACUGGGGAAGAGAACGUUUCCAUCAGGAUAUAAUUUGCUCAGUGUUACUGCCAUAAACCAGUCAAGGCUGAAGAUUGCUCAUCAGGAGUUUGUUCACUAGAUGGAACACGUUAUAUGAGAGAGAACUGCAAUACAUGACUCUGGAGUCAAA